UCUGGAUGGUAGUGUAUUGGACUACCAUGGCAGUCACGGGUAACGGAGAAUUAGGGUUCGAUUCCGGAGAGGGAGCCUGAGAAACGGCUACCACAUCUAAGGAAGGCAGCAGGCGCGUAAAUUACCCAAUCCUGAUUCAGGGAGGUAGUGACAAGAAAUAACAACCUGGGGAUCUCAUGAUCUUACGGGAUUGCAAUGAGAACAAUUUAAAUCUCUUAACGAGUAACAAUUGGAGGGCAAGUCUGGUGCCAGCAGCCGCGGUAAUUCCAGCUCCAAUAGCGUAUAUUAAAGUUGUUGCAGUUAAAAAGCUCGUAGUUGAACUUCUGGCGGCGUGCCGGUUAGGCUUUUGUCUGCCGGUCUAGCGUCGUCAUCCGUCUGCAAACCUCGUUCGUCCUUCACUGGUUCGGCGAGUUGAGUAGACAAUUUACUUUGAAAAAAUUAGAGUGUUUCAAGCAGGCAUUAGCCCGAAUACUUUAGCAUGGAAUAAUGGAAUAGGACUCUGUCCAUAUCAAUUGGCUGUGGGCAUGAGUAAUGAUUAAUAGGGACAGUUGGGGGCAUUAGUAUUUAAUUGUCAGAGGUGAAAUUCUUGGAUUUAUUAAAGACUAACUAAUGCGAAAGCAUUUGCCAAGGAUGUUUUCAUUAAUCAAGAACGAAAGUUAGGGGAUCAAAGACGAUCAGAUACCGUC
rnacentral:rRNA from 1 species